rnacentral:snRNA from 1 species
UUCGCUUCUCGGCCUUUUGGCUAAGAUCAAAGUGUUGUAUCUCUUCUUAUCAGCUUAAUCCACUGGUACGGUCUCCAUAGGACACCCAGAAGAUUAAACUGAUUUUUGAAAAAUGAUGGAGUGCUAGGGGCAUGCUACAACUAUGUCGCGAAUUGACGAGGUAUUGUAGUAUCUCCGGUAGCCGAGCGAUUAAAUAUAU